rnacentral:rRNA from 1 species
CCCUUAGAUGUCCUGGGCCGCACGCGUGCUACACUGACGCCUCCAGCGAGCACUUUCCAGCCCCGAGAGGCGGCUGGUAAUCAGCAAUAGGCGUCGUGAUGGGGAUAGAUCUUUGGAAUUAUGGAUCUUGAACGAGGAAUGCCUAGUAAGCGCAGGUCAUUAGCCUGCGCUGAUUAAGUCCCUGCCCUUUGUACACACCGCCCGUCGCUCCUACCGAUUUCGAGUGGUCCGGCGAAUCUUUCGGACUGCGCGCGGCCUUGAGUCGUGUCGCGGAAAGUCAGGUAAACCUUAUCACUUAGAGGAAGGAGAAGUCGUAACA